rnacentral:rRNA from 1 species
CCUACGGGAGGCAGCAGUGGGGGAUAUUGCACAAUGGGGGAAACCCUGAUGCAGCGACGCCGCGUGGGUGAAGAAGCGCCUCGGCGCGUAAAGCCCUGUCAGCAGGGAAGAAAAUGACGGUACCUGAAGAAGAAGCCCCGGCUAACUACGUGCCAGCAGCCGCGGUAAUACGUAGGGGGCAAGCGUUAUCCGGAUUUACUGGGUGUAAAGGGAGCGUAGGCGGCCUGGCAAGCCUGAUGUGAAAUACCGGGGCCCAACCCCGGGGCUGCAUUGGGAACUGCCAGGCUGGAGUGCCGGAGAGGCAGGCGGAAUUCCUAGUGUAGCGGUGAAAUGCGUAGAUAUUAGGAGGAACACCAGUGGCGAAGGCGGCCUGCUGGACGGUGACUGACGCUGAGGCUCGAAAGCGUGGGGAGCAAACAGGAUUAGAUACCCGAGUAGUC